rnacentral:rRNA from 1 species
AUACGGAGGAUCCAAGCGUUAUCCGGAAUCAUUGGGUUUAAAGGGUCCGUAGGCGGGUCUGUAAGUCAGUGGUGAAAUCUCCCGGCUCAACCGGGAAAUUGCCAUUGAUACUGCAGGUCUUGAAUUAUUGGGAAGUAACUAGAAUAUGUAGUGUAGCGGUGAAAUGCUUAGAGAUUACAUGGAAUACCAAUUGCGAAGGCAGGUUACUAUCAAUAUAUUGACGCUGAUGGACGAAAGCGUGGGUAGCGAACAGGAUUAGAUACCCUGGUAGUCCACGCCGUAAACGAUGGAUACUAGCUGUUGGGAGCAAUCUCAGUGGCUAAGCGAAAGUGAUAAGUAUCCCACCUGGGGAGUACGUUCGCAAGAAUGAA